rnacentral:lncRNA from 1 species
GUGAAGGUGUGUUUGCUUCUCCUUCAUCUUUUGCCAUGAUUAUAAGUUUCCUGAGGCCUACCCAGCCAUGGCUCCUGUAUAGCCUGCAGAACUUUUCGCUCUUGUUGCCCAGGCUAGAGUGCAAUGGCACGAUCUUGGCUCACCACAACCUCCGCCUCCUGGGUUCAAGCGAUUCUCCUGCCUCAGCCUCCCGAGUAGCUGGGAUUACAGAUGUCAAUUAUCUGUUAUGCACCAGACACUACUGGAUGUGAGGGUCAUGGCUGCCCAUAGGCCAUGAGGUGCCUGCACGCAAAUUUGAAAAAGACUCUCCAGAUGCACACCUCUGCAGCAGGUUGCAUGAAUUGAAAUGAUCUUCCCACCUCAGCCUCCCAAGUAGCUGGGACCACAGGUGUGCGCCACCACUCCCGGCUAUUUGUGUAUGUGUGUGUAUUUUUAGUAGAGGCAGGGUUUUGCCAUGCUGCCCAGGUUGGUCUUGAACUCCUGGCUCAAGCAAUCCACCCAUCUCAGCCUCCCAAAGUGUUGGGAUUACAGGAGUGAGCCACUGCGCCCAGCUUCUUUUAAUAUCUGUAAACUUUCAUGUAUUACACUUGGAUCCUUGAUCCAUUUAGAGUUGAUUUCUGUGUAUGGUGUACAGAUUGGAUCUCAUUUUAUAUUUUUCCAGAUAAUUAGUCAGUAUACCCAGCACCUUUUACAAAUAUUUGUCCCAGUAACAUAUAUUUAUUCUUUAAAAAUUCUGGUGAUAAACACAAGUUUAAGGAAGAAAAAAAAAACCACAAACAAAUCCUACCCAGAGAUAACCACAAAUUAUGUUUUGGUAGACUGCUCUCGUUUAAAUAUUUGACCCCUCUGAAACUCAUGUUGAAAUGUACUCCCCAAUGUAACAAUAUUAAGAGGUGAGGCUUUUAAGCGGUGAUUGGGUCAUGAGGGCUGUGCCCUCAUGAAUGGAUUAGUCCAUUCAUGGAUUCAUGGAUUCAUGGGUAAUCAUGGGAUUGGGUCUGUUAUAAAAGCCAGUUUGGCAAGCUCUUGUCCUCUCACCAUGGGAUGCCCUCUGCCAUAUUAUGAUGCGGUAAGAAGUCCCUUACCAGAAGUGGUCCCCCAACCUUGGACAACCAGCCUCCAGAACUGUAAGAAAUAAAUUUAUUUUCUUUGUAAAUUA